GUAGGUGGCAAGCGUUGUCCGGAAUUAUUGGGCGUAAAGCGCGCGCAGGCGGUUCUUUAAGUCUGAUGUGAAAGCCCACGGCUCAACCGUGGAGGGUCAUUGGAAACUGGAGAACUUGAGUACAGAAGAGGAAAGCGGAAUUCCACGUGUAGCGGUGAAAUGCGCAGAGAUGUGGAGGAACACCAGUGGCGAAGGCGGCUUUCUGGUCUGUAACUGACGCUGAGGCGCGAAAGCGUGGGGAGCAAACAGGAUUAGAUACCCUGGUAGUCCACGCCGUAAACGAUGAGUGCUAAGUGUUAAGGGGUUUCCGCCCCCCUUAGUGCUGCAGCUAACGCAUUAAGCACUCCGCCUGGGAGUACGGCCGCAAGGCUG
rnacentral:rRNA from 1 species